AUCUAUUUGCUUAAGAGAACUGCACUAAGAAAUAUCAGUGUUUUAGUGCUUCAAAAGGAUGCCAAUCUACUAACAAAUACAGGAAAAUCUAGGACCUUUAUUGUAAGUAAAAUGUGCUGUCCAUAUCUAGGAAACAGAAUGUAAGCUCUUUGGGCUACAUGCUGUAGUUAGUUACUUUUAGGGGGAGAAAGAAAGUUGUACACUAUGAAAUCCAAGAUCAGGAAGCCCCAAGUAAAUAAAAAUUAUCUAAGGCUCUUUGUUACUGGUAUUUACCAAUUUUCCCGCAAUUUCCCCAGUUUUUGAAAGAGUCAGUAUUCAGGUUUUACCCAUUUUUCAUCUGAACGUGUGCUUUUCUGGGAUCUGGGAAUUUUUUUGCUGGGGAAGUGGGUGGGCCACGUUGAAGGCCUGGGGUCAGGAGGAGGCUUUUCCGGCAGGGGGGGGUCAGUACUCAAGAGUUGCAGCUUUCUGUUCCCCUCCUGGCCCUUCAGUUGGACCCUGUUCACUUCCUCUGUGUAGUGGGGAGUGAGACAAGCAAGGUCCCAGCAGCUGAGACCACCAGACCACUGCUGCAUGGAGUGGAAGGCUUCCUCAACUACUACAUGCUUUAAAGAAGGACAGUAGAAGGAGAAAUAUCCCUCAAAUGAUGGAGAGGAAAUGGGAAGGAAAGAGGUGGCUUCAUAGCUGUUUGUGAAUGAAACAGAAAAGCCACUAUUCUAGAAGACACUUCAGGAGGCUUCAGUAGAAGAAACUGAGAGCAAGGAUGUCUGAGAGACGGAGCCCUAAAACUGACAAACACAACACUUGCUAUCCCAGACUUGCCAGGAGACUUUGGGGACCAAAUCCAUGAUGCAAUGCACGGCGAAUGUUCAGUCAAGUGGAAGAGGUACUCUUGCAUUGUGAGGGUAAAAGUCAUGAGAAGUCCAGCCCUACCGGAAAGCCCUGCUUUAAAAGAAGGAAUUAUUCAGACUAAAGGAGUGGUUUUCCUAAGCAACCAGAUCAAAGUGAAAACACUCAGAAUAGCUCACUCACAGGUUUCCUUUUGCACAUCGGUUCAUCAAGAGUGUCAGGCACUUGGUGGGCAGUUCAUACUCCUCUGACAAACUACAAUUUGGUGGGAAACUUCACAAGAACCCACGGUAUCAGUAAGCCCUGCAAAUAUCUUGGGAUCUCUCUUCUUUUUUAAAAAGACUUUAAAAAUAAUUUGGUGGAUCUCUAAUCUAGUUAUCUGCUGUAACUGCAAUAUACCGUGUAUGUCUGACUCCCACAGACAAAGGCCUCUGUUUCCUCUCUGCCAGUACCUUAGUAUCUGCCUUGCCCAGGAGUCUGCUGAUGAAGACUUCCUGUUUGUUUUGAGUCACUGUUGGAGUGAUAAAUAUACUUCAGCUUUCUCCUCAGAGAGGAAAGAAACCAGCUGCCCUGAACUAAAGAGAAAAUAUGUAGAAAUUCCACCAAAGGGCCCUGUUAUCAUGGAGCCUCUAUGGAAGCAUAAAAACAAGAAAUAUAAGCCACGACAAAGGAAACAAUUUACAUACUAAAACAUCCUUCUACAUGCAUUGACAUAAGUUGUUUGCCUUUAAUCAUUUAUUUUCACUCUAUAACUCUAAUUUAAA